rnacentral:piRNA from 1 species
CCCUCAUGAGCUUCAACAGUGACC